UACGUAGGGUGCAAGGCGUUGUCCGGAAUUAUUGGGCGUAAAGAGCUCGUAGGCGGUUUGUCGCGUCGAAUGUGAAAACCCGGGGCUCAACUCCGGGCCUGCAUUCGAUACGGGCAGACUAGAGUUCGGUAGGGGAGACUGGAAUUCCUGGUGUAGCGGUGAAAUGCGCAGAUAUCGAGGAGGAACACCGGUGGCGAAGGCGGGUCUCUGGGCCGAUGACUGACGUGAGGAGCGAAAGCGUGGGGAGCGAACAGG
rnacentral:rRNA from 1 species